rnacentral:tRNA from 2 species
GCCAGCGUAGCUCAGGUGGUAGAGCAACUGAUUUGUAAUCAGUGGGUCGGGGGUUCGAAUCCCUCCGCUGGCUUCA